rnacentral:rRNA from 1 species
UACGGAGGAUGCGAGCGUUAUCCGGAUUUAUUGGGUUUAAAGGGUGCGCAGGCGGUCUGUUAAGUCAGCGGUCAAAGCCCGGGGCUCAACCCCUUCCCGCCAUUGAAACUGGCGUUCUUGAGUGGAAGAGAAGUAUGCGGAAUGCGUGGUGUAGCGGUGAAAUGCAUAGAUAUCACGCAGAACCCCGAUUGCGAAGGCAGCAUGCCGGCUUCCGACUGACGCUGAAGCACGAAAGCGUGGGGAUCGAACAGG